rnacentral:rRNA from 1 species
UACAGAGGUCCCGAGCGUUGUUCGGAUUCACUGGGCGUAAAGGGUGCGUAGGUGGUGAGGUAAGUCGGAUGUGAAAUCUCGGAGCUCAACUCCGAAACUGCAUUGGAAACUACCUCGCUCGAGGGUUGGAGGGGGGACUGGAAUACUUGGUGUAGCAGUGAAAUGCGUAGAUAUCAAGUGGAACACCAGUGGCGAGGGCGAGUCCCUGGACAACUCCUGACACUGAGGCACGAAAGCUAGGGGAGCAAACAGG